AAGGCCAGUCCUGGAUGAUGGGUAGAGUAUGAGUCCUGCAUGAUGGAUGCUAUGUAACUGGAACUCUGAGGCCCAG